UUUCUUUUUCUUUUUCUUUUAAUGUUAUAUUUACAAAAUUAAAGGAAAAUUACACGUGUAGAAGUACUUGGAAGUUUCAGAGAAAGAGACAAAUUCUCAAACAUAAGAACAGGAACAUAAAUAUAUGAUUUUGAAUCUCCGUCUCUCUACUUGCAUCACCAGCCACUUUCUCUUUCUCUCUCUAUGGCCGGAUCAUCGUGGUUGGUAGACAAAAGUAGAAUUGCAACCAAAAUAAAGAGUGCAUCUGGAGCAAAUGGGAAAGUUUUAUGGAAAAGCAAUCCUACCAGAACUUGUCCGAAUUGUCAACAUGUUAUUGAUAACAGUGAUGUGGCACAAGAGUGGCCUGGAUUACCAAAAGGUGUGAAAUUUGAUCCAUCUGAUCAAGAAAUAAUAUCACACUUGCUUGCAAAAGUUGGUGCAGCAGGUUCAGAGCCUCACCCUUUCAUUGAUGAAUUUAUUGCUACUCUUGAAGUGGAUGAUGGAAUUUGUUAUACACAUCCUAAACAUUUACCAGGUGUCAAGCAAGAUGGUAGUGCUACACACUUUUUCCACAGAUCAAUCAAGGCUUAUAAUACUGGCAAUCGAAAGCGUCGGAAAAUAAAUGACCAGGACUCUGGUGAUGUCCGUUGGCACAAGACUGGAAAAACUAAACCUGUCAUCUCGGACGGGGUUCAGAGAGGCUGUAAAAAGAUUAUGGUUCUAUAUAUGACUUCAGUUAGAGGAGUAAAAGCUGAGAAAACUAACUGGGUUAUGCAUCAAUAUCACCUCGGAACAGACGAAGAUGAAAAGGAAGGAGAGUAUGUUAUCUCUAAAGUGUUUUACCAGCAACAAGUUAAGUUUGGUGAAAAAGAUGAUCAUGAUGUUCCUGGAACCAAUGAAGCAACUGUUGUGAAAGAUGAUCCAGUCACUUCGGAACCUCCUCAUAGUGAAAAACAAUGUUCAGAUCUCGACAUAGGAGAAAAAUCACAUCAGAUUCCUCAGGGUCCUGAGACAGAUUGUGUAGAAGACAUUCAAGCCGAGUGUGAAGAGAUUGUGAAAACUGAUGUAGCCAUGGCAGAUGCUCAAAAUAAUGAAGGAAUGGAUAAUGUAGAAAAUAAUGCUGAUGGAGAACAAAAAUGGUGGGACAGUGAGUCACAGAAUUUGUUAGAUUCACAACAACUUGUUGAAGCAUUGGCCUUGUGUGAUGAUCUCCUCCAUAGCCAGUGUUCCAAUAAGGAUGAUGAAAAUGAAGAACACAAGGAGCACUUGAGUCUUUCCAUCUAUGCUCAUCUAGGACCAGAGCAUCUGAAGAAAGAUCUUGAAGAGUGCCAAAACCUUAAUCUUGAUCCUGCAAAUGUAGAGCUCGAGACACCACCUUCAGAGUUUCGACUAAGUCAGCUGGAAUUCGGUUCACAGGAUAGCUUUGUUUCCUUGAGCGGCGGCAAGGCAGUCGAUUAAUCCGGCCCUUCUUCGGCUAAUAUGGGAAACAAACACAUUUCUAACUACUUUUGUUGUAACAUUUGAUCAACAGUGGUGUAAUUAAUACUGUCUUUUGGUGUAGUGAAAGCCAUGAUUCAUGAAUGCUGAGUGUGUUACAUCCUAAACAGAUCAUGAAACAUGAUGAGAUAGAACCUGAUUGGAUCCCAUGAACUUAACAUUUUCCAGGUUGGCAUCACACUAUCACUCCCUAUAGGGCUAGGAAGGUGCAUCCCUCAAGAACAUAAGCCAAACCGUUUCGAAUUUUCCUGUUUCUUUGGAAGUAAACUAUCAAUUCAGUACUGGAAAGAUUGAAAUAUUGACAAUUUGACCUCAAAAUUGAUCGCUAAUCUAAAAAAUUGAACAGGACUUGUGUUGAAUUGACCAAGUGUCUUGGCCACAUUAAAUGCAUGUUGAGAGAAAGAACAAGAGCAAAGGCAAAUGUUUGUAUUGGAUGCCUUCACAUCAAUUUGCAGAAAAUGUAUCAUAAUUCUAAAUGAAGAGAGGCAUCAUAAUGGAUCCAUGUAGGAAAAGUGGGUCAUCUACAAUGACACAAUCCAGGUAAGUCAAAUUGUAUUAUUACACACACAUACACACUCUCUCUCACAUAGUCCAAUCCAUCACAAGGCAAAGGGGGGCCUUACAGAAAUAAAGCCUGCAACUUUCAACUUGUUUUGGUUCUGACAUGUGUUUCAAUUUGGCUUGGUUCAUUUCUGGAAAACAAGUCCAGGUAAUCAUGCUAGACAUUAAAACUAUUUGCUAUGAUCUUAUCAUCAAUAAUUGAAUCAUUGAUCUUAUGCUACUUAUCAACUAAAGUUAGACGGUUUUAUGCUAUUAAUUCUAUAUAAUUGUAAGAAAAAUAUCUGUAGCAAUAUUUUAACAAAGAGAAUAUAAUUAUUCUGAUUGCAUUGUUUUAA